UCGUAAGGACGGCCUUACGGCUCUUCGUUUUCAUCGGGGACGGCCCCA
rnacentral:ncRNA from 1 species